ACCCCCUCCCCUUGGUCUCUAUGGGCGCGCGCAGGCAGCCUCGCUCACCGGCCCCAGGGCCCCGGCUGAAGGGCCGCCGCUAGAGCCACCCCCGCGCUCCCGCCGCUUCUAGUCGCGCAACGGAGAUGCGAUCAGUAAGUUGGAAAAAGAGGAGACGCUACUCCCAGCGACCCCGCCGCCGCCGCCGCUGCUCCCGAGGCCUCACCAAAAUGGCCGCCGCCUUCUCGGCCGCCACCGCCACUACCACCACCACCACCACCAAGGCUCGUUAUCGCUACCGCCGGAGCGGCCCGUCUUCUCGCGAUACACAGUAACUGGAGGCUGGAGGGGCGGGUAUGCUCGCGUGCUAGCGUAGGACUCUUGUCUGGAGCGCAAAGCAAGGUGGGAGUUGUAGUCCUUCCCGAGGUUCCAUCCUUGCCCAGCUCGCUUCUGCGGAUCUGAAACUACUUUAACUCGAGCUGCCUUGCAGCUGCUCUGGUGAACAUCCUUUGGGUUUGUGAGUUUUUAUUUUUAUUUUUAGAUCAUCCAGUGAAGUCAAACAAAUUAGUUGUGGAACCUUAGCCACCAGUAGCUUUUUUUUUUUUUUUAAAGACAAGUUCUCACAAUGAUCUAUGGCAGACCUGGACUCGCUACGUAGAUCCGGCUAACCUUAAACUCAACAGACGCUCCUGGCUCUGCCUAGGAUCAACGGUGCGAGCCAUCACUACCAACUGCAGUUGACUUUGUAGCAUUGGUUUUUCAUGAGCCCCCAAACAUCUGUGCCAUUAGUUUGCAGGUUUUCUGCAUUAAGAACCCUUUUGAGAGGCUGGGAAGAGAGCUCAGCGACGAAGAAUAUUGGCUAGUUCCUCUUCCAGAGGACCCAGAUUCUAUUUCCAACAUUCACAGUAGCUCAACCAUCCAUAACUCCAGUUUCAGGGAACCGGACACCCUCUUCUGGCUUCAAAGGUCACUGCACAUGGUAUAACAGACCCACAUGCUUGUAAAAUGCCCAUGCAUAUCAAAUAAAAAUCCUCUUAAAAAAA